CCCUUAGAUGUUCUGGGCGGCCCGCGCACUACACUGGCACUCUCAAUCAGAGCCUGGAUCUAACACUUUGGGGUAUUCUAUGAAGUGGUGUCGUGACUGGAAUUAACCCUUGCAAUUAUUGGUUACGAACGAGGAAUUCCUUGUAAUCGCGGUUUAUCAGCCCGCGUUGAAUGCGUCCCUGCCCUUUGUACACACCGCCCGUCGCUCCUACCGAUGGAUCGUCCGGUGAAGCUCAUGGAGGGGCGGUUGUCUCAGCUGCCGUCGAAGUGAAAUGGACCUCACGAUCUAGAGGAAGGAGAAGUCGUAACA
rnacentral:rRNA from 1 species